GAUGAACGCUAGCGAUAGGCUUAACACAUGCGAGUCGAGGGGCAGCACAAGGUAGCUUGCUAUCUGGGUGGCGACCGGCGCACGGGUGCGUAACGCGUAUGCAACUUGCCCUAUACAGGAGGAUAACCCGUCGAAAGACGGACUAAUACUGCGUAUGCUCACAACUUGGCAUCAAGUGGUGAGGAAAGAAAUUCGGUAUAGGAUAGGCAUGCGUCCCAUUAGCUUGUUGGUGAGGUAACGGCUCACCAAGGCAACGAUGGGUAGGGGAACUGAGAGGUUUAUCCCCCACACUGGUACUGAGACACGGACCAGACUCCUACGGGCGGCAGCAGUGAGGAAUAUUGGUCAAUGGGCGCGAGCCUGAACCAGCCAAGUCGCGUGAAGGAUGACUGUCUUAUGGAUUGUAAACUUCUUUUAUACGGGAAUAACAAGAGUCACGUGUGACUCCCUGCAUGUACCGUAUGAAUAAGCAUCGGCUAACUCCGUG
rnacentral:rRNA from 1 species